UACUGAGUGGCAAACGGGUGAGUAUAAUGUGGGAAUCUGCCUUUUGGUCUGGAAUAACACGAGGAAACUUGUGCUAAUACCGGAUAAGCCUUCACAGGGAAAGUUUUAAUGCCAAAAGAUGAGCCCGCACUUGAUUAGCUAGUUGGUAAGGUAAUAGCUUACCAAGGCAACGAUCAAUAGCUGUUCUUAGAGGAAGACCAGCCACAUUGGGACUGAGACACGGCCCAAACUCCUACGGGAGGCAGCAGUGGGGAAUCUUGCACAAUGGGGGAAACCCUGAUGCAGCGAUGCCGCGUGAGUGAAGAAGGCCUUUGGGUUGUAAAACUCUUUCGUCGGGGAAGAAAAUGACUGUACCCGAAUAAGAAGGUCCGGCUAACUUCGUGCCAGCAGCCGCGGUAAUACGAAGGGACCUAGCGUAGUUCGGAAUUACUGGGCUUAAAGAGUUCGUAGGUGGUUGAAAAAGUUGGUGGUGAAAUCCCAGAGCUUAACUCUGGAACUGCCAUCAAAACUUUUCAGCUAGAGUAUGAUA
rnacentral:rRNA from 1 species